rnacentral:rRNA from 1 species
UACGUAGGGGGCGAGCGUUUGUCCGGGAUAAUUGGGCGUAAAGGGCGUGUAGGCGGCUUGUCGCGUCGAAUGUGAAAUCUCAGGGCUCAACUCUGACAUUGCAUUCGAUACGGGCAGGCUCGAGUUCGGUAGGGGAGACUGGAAUUCCUGGUGUAGCGGUGAAAUGGCGCAGAUAUCAGGAGGAACACCGGUGGCGAAGGCGGGUCUCUGGGCCGAUACUGACGCUGAGGAGCGAAAGCGUGGGGAGCGAACAGG